UGAUCAUGGCUCAGAACGAACGCUGGCGGCACGCCUAACACAUGCAAGUCGAGCGCACCUUCGGGUGAGCGGCGGACGGGUUAGUAACGCGUGGGAACAUACCCUUCACUACGGAAUAGCCUCGGGAAACUGAGAGUAAUACCGUAUACGUCCUCCGGGAGAAAGAUUUAUCGGUGAAGGAUUGGCCCGCGUUAGAUUAGGUAGUUGGUGGGGUAACGGCCUACCAAGUCUACGAUCUAUAGCUGGUUUGAGAGGAUGAUCAGCAACACUGGGACUGAGACACGGCCCAGACUCCUACGGGAGGCAGCAGUGGGGAAUCUUAGACAAUGGGCGAAAGCCUGAUCUAGCGAUGCCGCGUGAGUGACGAAGGCCUUAGGGUCGUAAAGCUCUUUCGCCAGGGAUGAUAAUGACAGUACCUGGUAAAGAAACCCCGGCUAACUCCGUGCCAGCAGCCGCGGUAAUACGGAGGGGGUUAG
rnacentral:rRNA from 1 species